CCUACGGGAGGCAGCAGUGGGGAAUUUUGGACAAUGGGCGCAAGCCUGAUCCAGCAAUGCCGCGUGCAGGAUGAAGGCCUUCGGGUUGUAAACUGCUUUUGUACGGAACGAAACGGCGAGCUCUAAUAAAGUUCGCUAAUGACGGUACCGUAAGAAUAAGCACCGGCUAACUACGUGCCAGCAGCCGCGGUAAUACGUAGGGUGCAAGCGUUAAUCGGAAUUACUGGGCGUAAAGCGUGCGCAGGCGGUGAUGUAAGACAGAUGUGAAAUCCCCGGGCUCAACCUGGGACCUGCAUUUGUGACUGCAUCGCUAGAGUACGGUAGAGGGGGGAUGGAAUUCCGCGUGUAGCAGUGAAAUGCGUAGAUAUGCGGAGGAACACCGAUGGCGAAGGCAAUCCCCUGGACCUGUACUGACGCUCAUGCACGAAAGCGUGGGGAGCAAACAGGAUUAGAUACCCUGGUAGUCCACGCCCUAAACGAUGUCAACUGGUUGUUGGGUCUUCACUGACUCAGUAACGAAGCUAACGCGUGAAGUUGACCGCCUGGGGAGUACGGCCGCAAGGUUGAAACUCAAAGGAAAUUGACG
rnacentral:rRNA from 1 species